GGUGUGGACGGUGGACAGGCGUUGUGGAUGGUGGACACUGCAGUGCGGAUGGUGGACAGGUGGUGUGGAUGGUGGACAGGCGGUGUGGACGGUGGACAGGCAGUGUGGAUGGUGGACAGGCGGUGUGGACGGUGGACACUGCAGUGUGGAUGAUGGACAGGUGGUGUGGACGGUGGACAGGCGGUGUGGACGGUGGACAGGUGGUGUGGACGGUGGACAGGUGGUGUGGACGGUGGACACUGCAGUGCAGAUGGUGGACAGGUGGUGUGGAUGGUGCACAGGCAGUGUGCAUGGUGGACACUGCAGUGCGGAUGGUGGACAGGUGGUGUGGAUGGUGAACAUGCGGGGUGGAUGGUGGACACUGC
rnacentral:lncRNA from 1 species